rnacentral:miRNA from 1 species
CAAGAAAACGCUUCCUAUCCACA